UAUUGGACAAUGGGCGCAAGCCUGAUCCAGCGACGCCGCGUGUGUGAAGAAGGCCUGCGGGUUGUAAAGCACUUUUAGUGGGGAUGAAAAGCCGAAUGCUAAUACCUUUCGGUCUUGACCUAACCCAAAGAAAAAGCACCGGCUAACUCUGUGCCAGCAGCCGCGGUAAUACAGAGGGUGCGAGCGUUAAUCGGAAUUACUGGGCGUAAAGCGUGCGUAGUCGGUUAUUCAAGUCGGGCGUGAAAGCCCCGGGCUCAACCUGGGAAUUGCGUUCGAUACUGUCUAGCUAGAGUUCGGCAGAGGGAAGUGGAAUUUCCGGUGUAGCGGUGAAAUGCGUAGAUAUCGGAAGGAACAUCAGUGGCGAAAGCGACUUCCUGGACCAGAACUGACGAUGAGGCACGAAAGCGUGGGGAGCAAACAGG
rnacentral:rRNA from 1 species